rnacentral:rRNA from 1 species
GGUCAAGCUACAAAGGGCUCACGGCGGAUACCUUGGCACACAGAGGCGAUGAAGGACGUGGUUACCUGCGAUAAGUCUCGGGGAGCUGGAAACACGCUUUGAUCCGGGAAUUUCCGAAUGGGGCAACCCCUUGUACGGCCAGCUGAAUCCAUAGGCUGGCGCGAGCCAACCCAGCGAACUG